AUAUUGGUGAUGUGGAAAUUCCCAAAGAAGAGCCUUGAAUCAUUCUCAAGCAUGAUGGAGGUUUUUAUUUGCCUUCUGUUUGAAGCUCACUAUCUCAUUGCGAAGUCU